rnacentral:rRNA from 1 species
GAUGAACGCUGGCGGCGUGCCUAAUACAUGCAAGUCGAGCGAAUGGAUUAAGAGCUUGCUCUUAUGAAGUUAGCGGCGGACGGGUGAGUAACACGUGGGUAACCUGCCCAUAAGACUGGGAUAACUCCGGGAAACCGGGGCUAAUACCGGAUAACACUUUGAACCGCAUGGUUCGAAAUUGAAAGGCGGCUUCGGCUGUCACUUAUGGAUGGACCCGCGUCGCAUUAGCUAGUUGGUGAGGUAACGGCUCACCAAGGCAACGAUGCGUAGCCGACCUGCGAGGGUGAUCGGCCACACUGGGACUGAGACACGGCCCAGACUCCUACGGGAGGCAGCAGUAGGGAAUCUUCCGCAAUGGACGAAAGUCUGACGGGGCAACGCCGCGUGAGUGAUGAAGGCUUUCGGGUCGUAAAACUCUGUUGUUAGGGAAGAACAAGUGCUAGUUGAAUAAGCUGGCACCUUGACGGUACCUAACCAGAAAGCCACGGCUAACUACGUGCCAGCAGCCGCCGUAA